rnacentral:pre_miRNA from 1 species
AGGAGCACCGGAUCCUGGGCUGUGUCCCCUUGCGCCUUGUGCCCUGGGGUCUGUGCUGCUGGAAUCACACUCCUAGGACUGCGCAGCGCCG